rnacentral:rRNA from 1 species
GCCUGAUGCAGCAACGCCGCGUGAGGUGACGACGGCCUUCGGGUUGUAAACCUCUUUUGUCGGGGAAGAAGCGAAAGUGACGGUACCUGCGUAGAAAGCACCGGCUAACUACGUGCCACCCCCCGCGGUAAUACGUAGGGUGCAAGCGUUGUCCGGAAUUAUUGGGCGUAAAGAGCUCGUACGCGGUUUGUCGCGUCUGCUGUGAAAUCCCGAGGCUCAACCUCGGGCCUGCGGUGGGUACGGGCAGACUACAGUGCGGUAGGGGAGAUUGGAAUUCCUGGUGUAGCGGUGGAAUGCCCAGAUUUCAAGAGGAACACCGAUAGCUAAGGCGGAUCUCUGGGCCGUAACUGACGCUCAUGAGCGAAAGCGUGGGGAGCGAACAGGAUUAGAUACCCUGGUAGUCCACGCCAUACACGGUGGGAACUAGAUGUGGGGACCAUUCCACGGUCUCCGUGUCCCAUCUGACGCAUUAAAUUCCCCCCCAGGGGAGUACGGCCGCACGGGUAAAACUCAGAGGAAUUGACGGGGGCCCGCACAAGCGGCGGAGCACGCGGAUUAAUUCGAUGCAACGCGUAUAACCUUACCCAGGCUUGACAUAUACAACAACGGGCCACAAGUGGUCAACUCUUUGGACACU